UACGGAGGGUGCAAGCGUUUGUCCGGAUUUAUUGGGUUUAAAGGGUGCGUAGGCGGCUAAUUAAGUCAGCGGUGAAAUUCCACAGCUCAACUGUGUGAACUGCCAUUGAUACUGGUUGGCUUGAGUACAGAUGAGGUAGGCGGAAUUGACAGUGUAGCGGUGAAAUGCUUAGAUAUUGUCAAGAACACCUAUUGCGAAGGCAGCUUACUAAACUGUAACUGACGCUGAGGCACGAAAGCGUGGGGAUCAAACAGG
rnacentral:rRNA from 1 species